GGUGUUCUGAGAGGAAGGUCCCCCACACUGGUACUGAGACACGGACCAGACUCCUACGGGAGGCAGCAGUGAGGAAUAUUGGUCAAUGGACGCAAGUCUGAACCAGCCAUGUCGCGUGAAGGAAGACGGUUCUAUGGAUUGUAAACUUCUUUUAUACGGGAAGAAACGUAUCUACGUGUAGAUAUUUGCCGGUACCGUAUGAAUAAGCACCGGCUAACUCCGUGCCAGCAGCCGCGGUAAUACGGAGGGUGCGAGCGUUAUCCGGAUUUAUUGGGUUUAAAGGGUGCGUAGGCGGAAUAAUAAGUCAGUGGUGAAAUCUUGCAGCUUAACUGUAAAACUGCCAUUGAUACUGUUAUUCUUGAAUUUAGUUGAGGUAGGCGGAAUGUGUUGUGUAGCGGUGAAAUGCAUAGAUAUAACACAGAACACCGAUUGCGAAGGCAGCUUACUAAGCUAUAAUUGACGCUGAUGCACGAAAGCGUGGGUAGCGAACAGGAUUAGAUACCCUGGUAGUCCACGCCGUAAACGAUGAUUACUCGUUGUUGGCAAUACAUAGUCAGCGACUGAGCGAAAGCAUUAAGUAAUCCACCUGGGGAGUACGUUGGCAACAAUGAAACUCAAAGGAAUUGACGGGGGCCCGCACAAGCGGAGGAACAUGUGGUUUAAUUCGAUGAUACGCGAGGAACCUUACCUGGACUUAAAUGUAGAUUGACAGGCUUAGAGAUAGGCUUUUCUUCGGACAAUUUACAAGGUGCUGCAUGGUUGUCGUCAGCUCGUGCCGUGAGGUGUCGGGUUAAGUCCCAUAACGAGCGCAACCCCUAUCUUUAGUUACCAGCAUGUAGUGGUGGGGACUCUAAAGAGACUGCCGGUGUAAACCGUGAGGAAGGUGGGGAUGACGUCAAAUCAGCACGGCCCUUACGUCCAGGGCUACACACGUGUUACAAUGGUCGGUACAAAGGGCAGCUACCUAGCGAUAGGAUGCUAAUCUCUAAAACCGAUCUCAGUUCGGAUCGGAGUCUGCAACUCGACUCCGUGAAGCUGGAUUCGCUAGUAAUCGCAUAUCAGCCAUGAUGCGGUGAAUACGUUCCCGGGCCUUGUACACACCGCCCGUCAAACCAUGGAAGUUGGGGGUACCUGAAGUCUGUUACCGUAAGGAGCGGCCUAGGGUAAAACUAAUAACUAGGGUUAAGUCGUAACAAGGUA
rnacentral:rRNA from 1 species